UAGGAGUUACCCGCUGAACUUAAGCAUAUCAAUAACCGGAGGAA
rnacentral:rRNA from 1 species